AGGGUGUAAACGCUGCAGACUUGGUGUUGGGAACCCUUCGGGGGUGCUCAGUGCCGGAGAGAAGUUGUUAAGUCUGCUACUUGGGGAGUACGUCCGCAAGGAUGAAACUUAAAGGAAUUGGCGGGGGAGGCACCGCAACGGGAGGAGCGUGCGGUUUAAAUUUGGAUUCAACGCCGGGAAGCUCACCGGAUAGGACAGCAGAAAUGAUUGCCGGGCUGAAAGACCCUGCAUGACUAGCUGAGAGGUGGUGCAUGGC
rnacentral:rRNA from 1 species